rnacentral:misc_RNA from 1 species
CCAUCUCAAGGUCAAACUUGGUCAUGAGCUUGCGCAUUUCAUUAUGUCUGGCUUUAAAUUGGCACGCUUUGCGGUCCCUAGAUCGAUCUAAGCUCAUAAAAUUGCGCUGUUUGGUUUUGAUCUUUUGCGGACUUGCCACAAAUAUUUUUUGAAA